GGGGGGUGGCUCAGUUGGCUAGAGCACCAGCUCGACACGCUGGGGGUCACUGGUUCAAAUCCAGUAGCGCCCA
rnacentral:tRNA from 1 species